AUGUUGAUGGAUAAAAAGCAUCUAAAAGCACUAGUACUAGAGUGGACAUCAUAUUCAGAAGAUAUUGGAAAAACUGAGAAGGUGUUUGAGCAGCUAAUACCUCCAGCCAACUUGGAAACCCUAUAUAUUAUUGGGUUCUUUGGUCGGCGCUAUCCCAUCUGGUUUGGUAGCACCUGUUUGUCUUCACUGGUACACGUGAUCCUUAGAAAUCUACGAUGUGUGAGUCUUCCACCGAUUGGCCAGCUACCCAACUUGAAAUAUCUGAGAAUUGAGGAAGCAUAUGCAAUUACCAAGGUUGGACCUGAAUUUGUUGGUUGCACGAAGGCCCAUUCCAUAUGCAGUCAGUUGGUUGCUUUCCCUAAACUUGAAUGGUUAAUCAUCAGGGAUAUGCCCAACUGGGAGGAGUGGUCUUUUUUUGAAGAAGAAAUAGAAGUUGCUCUUAAUGAAAGGGGAGAGAAUGGAACUGCCGAGAUUCAGAAAGAGGAUGCCUCAUCUGCAAGGAUGCAACUGCUGCCUCGUUUGGUGAAGUUGAAACUUGAUGGUUGCCCAAAGUUGAGGGCUCUUCCGCUACAUCUUGGAGUGGACACUGCCAGAUUAAAGCACCUCUAA
rnacentral:rRNA from 1 species